rnacentral:lncRNA from 10 species
CUGAGGAGAAAGGGGUGCUGGUUCUUCCUUAUAUCCCCUGCCUGCCUCAGCUGGGCUCUGACCCAGCCAGCAGACUGGAGUCCUCUUCUGCAUGGUAAGGAAACUGAGGCUUAGAGGAGUUAUGAAAUUGCCCAAGGUUUCACAGCUGAAAUGUAUAAGGACCUGGACUUGCAAAUUUGGCACAAAGUUCUUCUAAUAAGAGGCCAUAAAAUAACCAAAUGAUUUUUUAUGUGCCUAUAGAACCAAAAGAACUAUUUCAGAAUGUCAGCUGAAAAGCACGAUAUUCCAGAUAGGAGCAGUGCCAGUGGAGGCUAG